UAGGGAAUCUUCGGCAAUGGACGAAAGUCUGACCGAGCAACGCCGCGUGAGUGAAGAAGGUUUUCGGAUCGUAAAACUCUGUUGUUAGAGAAGAACAAGGACGUUAGUAACUGAACGUCCCCUGACGGUAUCUAACCAGAAAGCCACGGCUAACUACGUGCCAGCAGCCGCGGUAAUACGUAGGUGGCAAGCGUUGUCCGGAUUUAUUGGGCGUAAAGCGAGCGCAGGCGGUUUCUUAAGUCUGAUGUGAAAGCCCCCGGCUCAACCGGGGAGGGUGAUUGGAAACUGGGAGACUUGAGUGCAGAAGAGGAGAGUGGAAUUCCAUGUGUAGCGGUGAAAUGCGUAGAUAUAUGGAGGAAAACCGGUGGCGAAGGCGGCUCUCUGGUCUGUAACUGACGCUGAGGCUCGAAAGCGUGGGGAGCAAACAGG
rnacentral:rRNA from 1 species